UACACUUUUCAGUAGGUUUCAGGUUUGCCGUGUGCCAUGAGCACCCCCCUCCCUCUACAGAGCUAAAACAGGUUUCCAGUUGCCUCUGGCAAAGAGAUGAUCAGACUUUGAACCGGAAUAAAUGACCGUGUGACUGGACGAGAGGGCAAAGGGGAGAGAUAAGUAUCUGAGGAACAAGUGCACACGUACACAUACACACACACACACACGCACCACCUUGGGGCCGAGUUCUCGUCACACACUGAUAAAUGAAUCUGGCAAUCUUCGAUACGUGUUUCUUCCCUCUCUACAGGUUUGGCCGUCUUUCUUGUUUAAAAAGCCUGAGGCAAACUAUCAAAUGUAUAAAGUUAAGCGUCAAAACAAGUGCAAUUGCAGUUGUUUUGAUGGAGACUGUAGGAACAAAAAAGCAGCUCAAACUAAAGGUCUCGGCAGACACUGACGUGACCCUGGCUAAGAUAGAAUAAUGAUAUGUUUGGAAGGAGGCACGGCCAUUGUAAAUCCAUUCUGGCACGGAGGAAUUCUCAUCUUUGGGAGUCGCACGCAGCCCCAAUGAGGUCACGACGGAGCAUUUGCUUUCAUCACGUCUUGUCAUUUGCUCUUUGUCCUUACGCUAAUUGCUCUUUUUCAGGGUUCUGCUGACGAGUUUGGGACCGGUAGUAUAAACAGCCAGAUUAAACAAACAUGCAGCAGCACCAGAGGAAGAGGAUGCGAGCGCUUGGCUGUAUCAACUAUCUGGCCCGCAGGGUUUGUCGCUACCUCAUCCCGUAUUCAACCCCGAGCACGAUGAGGAGUCUGUGUGCCAGCUGUGUGUGGCGACUCUGAAGAGGAACCACAACAGAGACAUCUAAUCAGUGGCAAGGAAGGUAUUACGAGAUAAAUGAGGGGCCCCCGGGCAAGAUUAAGCCAAGACAGAGAGGACAAGUUUAGGCCAUCCACUGAAAAACCUUCACAGAGUACAUACAGAUUGAAACGCUUCAAAUGUUAAGGGUUGUUGCCAAAGUCAGCAUACAUUUCAUUUUUUCUGUUUCUUUCGAGGGAUCAUUUGCACAAUGCGCGAGCAUGAGGCCGUCAACAUUGGAAGAUUUUGGCUUUGCAUCUGUUGCAAGCAUAUCUUGCCAACUGACAAUCGAGUAGCGAUGCAAAGUUGCCAGGGGGAGACGACAAUUAAUUCCAUCCGUGGCAAGCUUCUCAAAGCAGGAUCUGUUGCAUGCAGUGGAAGACCUACACUGACACGAAACCCAAACUCUUUGAGCAGGCGUUGACGCUAAGCCAGCCAAAGUCUCCCUGGCAUUACAGUCCAAACGCUUCAAGCCAAUGAUUAUGAUGCUCAAGAAGAAGUUGCUAAAGCUAAAGCUUUAUCACACUCCGAAGCACUGAAAUGAGUUAAAACCCUCCAACCGACGGUAUAUUAGCAUUGGCUGAUAACAAAGCUAAAAAUGGUACAACUUAGAUAAACGCGUCAAAAAAGUGGAUGAAAACUUGAUGACAUUAAUGUGAUCACUAGAGUAAGAAUAACUCAACAAUAGCGGUCAUGCGAACAAUUGUCUUUUAAACCGUGACAUUGCUUCAUAGGAAUAUGUUCAACAUUCAAGAAAGACAAAAAAUAACAGGAUUGGUUAAUUAAAUAUAUUUAUUCAAGAAGCAAAGCUGUGCUUGUUUUCAUCAAGACAAAAGUAAAGUUUUAAAUAUUAGGUUACCAAAGUAAAGUUUUAAAUAUUAUGUUGCUUCAGUGCAUGGUUUCACAUAACUGCCCCCAACUGAAGAUUUAAGUGUUAAUAUUGUGAGAAGGGAGAAAAUAUAGUUUAAGUAUCAAAUUCAUCACCAAAUACAAUAACUUAAAGACCUAGUGUAAAGGUUAGCCAAGCAUUGUUUUCCUGAAUCUUAAACAUUAAAAUAAAAAGCUCUUUGUUGCUGCAGUUCAGAGUGGCCACUGUCCAUCCGAACUCUGGUGUUCCCAUUGGGCUUUUCCCCAGAGCGCUUCAUUCGCUGUCCACACAUUUUGGGGCAUCCAGAAACGUUUACGCAUCAAGCAGCAUUUCCUCCUGUGCGCUCACUUUGCUAUCCAUCAACUUUGUCUGUGGGGUGAGGCAAAAACAUGCAGCAUGAUGUGGACUUUUCUUGCCAUACAAUUGUAAUCAAGUUUGCUCAAAUGGUAGUUGCUUGAUAGAAUCAAAGCUACAUCCCAAACAAAUGCCGUUUGCCUGUGCUGUUUACAUCAUUAUAUAAACAAUAGUUCCCUAAGAAGCAGAUAUGGCAUGUGUAAAGAUCACAUUAGCAGCAGAGAUGAAAUGCAAAAUAUAUGACAUGUAUUCUAAGCAUGCACCUAUACAAAUAAAGGUCUUCUCCUGAUAAACACGACCAAAUCUGGGAGGUUGAUACCAAAGCAUUAUAUAAAAAACACUCUACAAAACAUAAAAUUAUCUACAUACUAAUAAAUAAGUUACGAACACAAAUGGUGAAGCAACAUAUGUAGAGCAACAAUAAAAAUACUCACUGGCUUUCUCCUCUUUGAAAACCAUUUUAGACUGCAGCUUGCUGAGUCAAGCUGCAAAUGUAUUCGUUUGUCUGUGUAUUGUACUGCCCCUUGGUGGCCAAGUUGUUCACACACCCACACGCACAAAAUGAGGGGUUGGUACAGAACACCAUUCCCGUUCAUUUCAAUGGAGAAAGAUGACAAAAGGAGAUUUUCUAGAGCAAAAUGUGUAAAUGCCGAGCUCAAAAAAAUUGUUAAAACGGUCAAAAAAGCUUAAUAAUUUUUCGAUAAAUCGUAGAUUAUUUAAAAAAAAAAAGUAGGGCUCAGGCAUCUGAGAAGAUUAAAACUAUUUACUCUUGCCGAUGAGUUCACAAU